UUCACCUUAUUUUCCACGACAACAAGGGCGGCGCCAUUGCGCUCAUUUUGUCAACGUACUUCCGGCUGCAUAUGAUGAGCAGCUGAGGCAGUGGCUGAAGGCGACGCGUUAAACUUAAAAAGCUCACUCAAGCGCCUUUAUGUUUGUUCCUUACCAAUUUUAAUGGACGGGGAGCCGACUGAGGAACACCCUAAUCCCAAGUAAUGGUUCGACUACGAUGUUCCGGUAACUUUAAACCACGCCGGGUGUUGAAAAGGUGGUCAGUUUCAGAUAAACAAAAUCCAGUUACAACUCCGAACCGCUAGAUGGCAGCAGUACACAAACACGGGGCCAAAUCUCACGAGAAAGAUUUCCGCUUUUUGAAAAGCAACAACAUCAGCGAGCAGCCACGAGGAAAGUAUGUACCACACUUGUUUGGUCUUGUGUCAAAGCUGUGCGAAACUGGAGGGAGAAACUUGAGAGACCGUGCCGGAAGAAUGCUGGACAGAGUUCACUAAAAUUCAUUAAUUUCAAAGUUCAACAUGAAUGGUGGUGGUCCACUGCAGAAGCAAGCAUUUGAAAAAACAUCAGUUCUCAGUUAUUAAAGAUGCUGUGUUGAACAACUUCCCAGCAGCAACAGAACUGGAAGUGAAGGAUGCAAUGGGGGCAUUUCAAACAGGCACCAGGGAGCACGGGGGGGGGUAUAGAAAUUAGUACAAUUAAUAAGUUGACGUGAACUGAAGAUAGUUUGUUAAUGUUUAGAUGUUAUUUCAUUUUUGAAAUUGUAUUUUGUUAUAUAUGCUUUUAUUUUGUUACUGUUUUUAUUCUUUUUGUUAAAAGUAGUUUUUCUUCAUUUUGUCUUAUCUGAAUUUCUAUUGUAUUAACAAUAUUUUUUGUAAUAAAUUGCAUGAUUGCAUGUUUAUGAGAACCUUUUUACUGGAUUAAAAAUAAUUCUUUAGCCAUUCUUUUGUUCUUUAUUAGACACACACGUGUAGUCGUUUAAUAGCCGUCUAUUUAACGGCUAGUCUAUUCUUGGGCUAUGAUAGACGUCUACUAGAUUUUCACUGACAGCCCAAAAUUAGCCUUGUUUUAGCCUAGACCCACAUUCACCGUCUAUUAGACGUAUAUAUGUAGACGUUUAAUAGCCGUCUAUUUGAUGACUAGUCUAUUUCUUGGGCUAUGAUAGACGUCUACUAGAUUUUCACUGACAGCCCAGAAUUAGCCUUGUUUUAGCCUAGACGUCAGGGGGGUGUUUAGACGGCUACUAGACGUCUAUUAGCCGCAAAAUUGCUUGCUGGGUUUCCAC